CUUUUAGUAACUCAUAACAUUUUAUGUAAAGGAUUAAAAUGCUUCCUGUUUAAUGGGAAUAAGGCAUGAUGAAGAAUGUUUGUUGUAGGAACCAAACAGAUUUUUUUUCAUGAAAGCUUCUCUGGUGUUUGUGGAACCCAAAACAAUUAUAUGUUUAACUCUGUCGCCUGUGUUACGUCAAUCCCCCAAGGCCAGCGUUCAAGCUUCGACCAGUAAUGACAGUAUGAAAGAAUGAUACAAAGGCCAUACCUCCCCGAACUGCAAUCAGGGUUCACAGUAGGGCAUAACGUAGGACUCCUGCAUGACACACACCUUCUAUUACAUCAUUCAGCACCCAGGACUGCAAAAGCCACCGGCUGCACCAGAUAACGGAUCAGGAAAGCCAAACCCACAGCUAAGAGCACUGUUACAUGUCUCAUUGACCCCAGCACCGUGAUACUAAUUGUGCACACAAGGCAAACACACAAUUAGCGCACCGUUACAUGUCUCACUGACCUGUCCUGUUACACUCGCUGUAAG